rnacentral:lncRNA from 1 species
CAAGGUCUUAUAAUAGUAGCUGAAAUUAUAUGAAGAGGGUUAAAAAUCAAUCUUUGCUCACAAGGGAGAUUAAAUUAUUGUUUGUGUGGUGCUUAUGGCACACGGAGCUGAGGGGAUAGUUAGCAGCAGAUAAAAAUAUUAUAUUUCUUUGAUUAAUAAGGGCUAACUAGAUGUCCAGAAACAGGAUUGUCAAGAGAUGAAGCGGCAUUACCACAGAGAGCUUUAUUAAAGACUUUUCCCAGUUUCACCUGCUUCCUUAACACAGGUUUCUGUCUAAGCAGUUUCUCUUUAAUUGAGUAAAUUGUCAUCAGCUCUUGCUCACUGAUAAAUGUACAUCGUUCAAGGCCAGCAAUUAAUCGGUCACACAUUUUCACCAUAUGAUCUAUGGAGAUUUUUUUCACCCAAAUUCAUAAUGUCAUCAUCAUUACUACUACCAUCUUCAUAUUGAUCUGCAUUUAACACCAUCUCAGCAAUUUCCCCAUCACUCUUAGGAUGCACAAUGGGUUCAUCAUUAUCAAUGUUAACCCUUUCUUCAAUGUUAGCUUCUUCUAACUUAUUUACACUUUUGGCUGAUAAACUUUUGGCAUAGGUAAUGAAUUAUGCUACCAUUGUUUUCUCAUUAGAGUCAUGAACUCUUUCAAAAUCUUCAUCAGCUAGGUCACUUUCAAACAUAAUUGUAGCCCAAAGUCUAUGCCAAGCAUUUGUUAAUGUUGACUUAUCAACGUCGUUCCAAGCAUUAGCAACUGUGAAGAUGGCAUCCUUAAGAUUAAAUUCUUUAAGGAUGUCCUGGAUUUUCAGGCCUCUGUUAACUGAAGCAAGGAUGCUUUUCAAAAAACUGUUUAUACUUGCUCUUCACGGCGUGUAGAAUUCCUUGGUCACAAGGUUGUAUUACAGACGUCACACUGGGGGGAAAGUCAAUGCCAAAAGCAUUGCUCUUCGCAAGAUGUUCAGGAGGGGGUUGUGCAGAACAGUUAUCUAGAAACAACAAAAUUUUGCAGUUGUCUUCCAGUCCAGUUUGCAAUGAGCUCAUGCUGCUGGCACAAAGUGCCUAUCAAACCAGUUGGAAAAGAUUUCCCGUUACUGAUGCUUUCUUGUGUGCAUAACAAUGUACAGGUAAAUUAUGCACACCUUUUAAACACCUUGGAUAUAGGCUAUUUCCAAUCACUGCCAAUUUUAUCUUGUGUGUGCCUGCAGCAUUAGCACACUCAAGAACAGUUAACUUUUGCUUAGUAUCUUUGACAUCUGUUGUUGCUCUUUUGUUAGCCAUUGUUAAAGUUUUUCUAGGAACAUAGCACCAGUACAAAGCUGUUUCAUCAGCACUGUAAAUUUGUUCAGGGCUAAGAUUUUCAUCAGAUAUUACCUUAGCAAAUUCAUCAAUGUAAUUUUCAGUAGCUUCAUCAUCAGGAGAAGCCUUUUCACCACAGAUUUGAAGAUACUUGAUUCCAAGACACUUUUUAAAUUUCUGCAGCCAGCCUCCUGAAUAUUCACACUCUCCUUCAAAGUUCAGUUCUUCAUGGUAUAUUCUAGCUUGUUUCACGACCAACAAACCAGUCAGUGGUGUAUCUUUACUUCUUUGUUGUCGAACCCAUUCAAUCAACACAGGGUCAAGGUCUUCAUUUUUGGCUCUAUGCAAUGUUUUUCUAUUUUUCAUUCGUUCCUGGUUAUUGCUGUCACUAUAAAAUUUCAACAACUUGUCUGUUUCUUUAAGUCAUAUAUCGUGGUGGUUCCCAUACCAUAUUCUUCAGUAAGACACCUCACAGACAUACCACCAUCAAGUUUCUGCAAUAACUCCACUUUCUGAGAUAUUGAUAAAGACAGAUGCUUCC